GCGACAGUAGGUUGGUCGUGCCACCGGUACGUACUGGUCUCACUGAUUCCUCCUUCCUGAAGAACCGUAAUGCCAUUAAUUUGGUGUUGCGGGGAAACAGGACUGUUACUUUGAAAAAAUUAGAGUGUUUAAAGCAAGCUAACGCUUGAAUACAUUAGCAUGGAAUAAUGAAAUAGGACGAUCGAUCCUAUUUUGUUGGUUUCUAGGAUUGACGUA
rnacentral:rRNA from 1 species